UCACUAUUUCUGAUUCUCAUUUUCACCUCUCUCUCUCUCUCUCAAAUGGGUUCGGUUCCUCCUGAACUGAGCUUGGAUUUUAGACCCAGUUUUGUGCCUAAAACAAUCAGUGAUUUCCUAAAGGAGGUUUUCAAUGAUCGGUAAUGUGUCCGAGAGGCUAUCCAAGCUUGACGAUUAAGCGAUUGGAGGGAAGAGAUGAGGAAGAGCGACGCCUUCAAGGGCGAACUUCCUCUUUGCAUGUUUCUCUUGAAUGAUGGUGGUUUUUGUUUUUCCAUUUUCAGUAAAACAUUAAAACUUCGAUUUUUAAGUACAUAUUUUGGUGGGGGGGGAGGGAGAGAGAGAGAGAGGGGAGAGGAGACGAUUUUGGAGAUGGGGUUUUGGAUUUUUGAUUGAUGGUAUUAAGUAAAAGAUAUUAGUUUGAUUUGAGAAUUGGGUUUUUCCGUGUUUGUUGAGUUUGGUUAAUGGGUUUUUAGUUUUGAAGAUAUUGAUCAAUGGAUUUUUGUUUCGUUAUAACUCUUUUUCUGGGUUUGCUUUCUUCAUAUUGAUUGCAGCGAUUCUAAUUCUGAAGGAAGAUGCAGAAUGUAAUGUGCGGCACCAAAAUGUUCAAGAAGAAUGGUGAAAAAAACAAUGGAGGAACCAAUAACAAUAAGAAAGAAAAGGACUGUAGAGAUAAGAAGAAUUGGACGAGCUUUGGACCACUGAUAAGGUGGAGGGGAAAUAAGUCAAGAGGGUGAAAAUAGUAAUACGCUUUGGAUAUUAUCAAACUUCGUGCGUGCACCCCAGCCCCGCAAUUCGUGCGUUUCGCUUUCUUUAUGUGAAAUGAUGCACUGACUCACUGCCAUGGCACUUGAGCACGUGACACCUUAAUCUCCAUUAUUCUCUCUCAAUUUUCAUUAAUUACUAUUUUUCUAUGUACAACUCUGCAAAGCACAAGCCGAGCACCCUCUCAAAAUUUCCACAAGGCCACCGUUUUGUUUGAAAGACAAUAUUACCCAUGCCACGCCCUCUCAUUCAUUCUACAAAUAUUCUUAAAACUCUUAUUAUUUGAGUUGGUUGCAACAUUCAUUGUGUCAAAAACUAGUUUGGAUUUUCUAGCAC
rnacentral:lncRNA from 1 species